UCUCUCAAACUAAGAAUUUUUCUUUGGAUGCAGGAAUUAUGAAGUUACAAGGCAUCACUGGACCUACAGUGGCCUCGUCAUAACUCAGAUGAUUUCUACUCUUACUCAUCUCCUAAAAUUUCCUUUCGCUUUAUUGUGACUUACACAUUCUCAAUUUUACAGAUAGAAUAGCUUGGCAUAAUGGUGAAAACCAUGAGACGUUAUCCAGACCAAUAUAAGUUGAACAACUUCAUCAUUAACUUAUCUUUUGUUAUAUCAUUUACUUUGAUAAUUUUAUUUUGUUACUAACUCAUGACUGAGUUUUGCAGGUGUCAUUACCAGAAUUGAAGACAAUUUCAAAAGAUCUUCUGAAGUUUUGAAUGAUUAAAUC
rnacentral:lncRNA from 1 species